rnacentral:rRNA from 1 species
CGGGGGGGUGCUAUACAUGCAGUCGAGCGAACUGAUUAGAAGCUUGCUUCUAUGACGUUAGCGGCGGACGGGUGAGUAACACGUGGGCAACCUGCCUGUAAGACUGGGAUAACUUCGGGAAACCGAAGCUAAUACCGGAUAGGAUCUUCUCCUUCAUGGGAGAUGAUUGAAAGAUGGUUUCGGCUAUCACUUACAGAUGGGCCCGCGGUGCAUUAGCUAGUUGGUGAGGUAACGGCUCACCAAGGCAACGAUGCAUAGCCGACCUGAGAGGGUGAUCGGCCACACUGGGACUGAGACACGGCCCAGACUCCUACGGGAGGCAGCAGUAGGGAAUCUUCCGCAAUGGACGAAAGUCUGACGGAGCAACGCCGCGUGAGUGAUGAAGGCUUUCGGGUCGUAAAACUCUGUUGUUAGGGAAGAACAAGUACAAGAGUAACUGCUUGUACCUUGACGGUACCUAACCAGAAAGCCACGGCUAACUACGUGCCAGCAGCCGCGGUAAUACGUAGGUGGCAAGCGUUAUCCGGAAUUAUUGGGCGUAAAGCGCGCGCAGGCGGUUUCUUAAGUCUGAUGUGAAAGCCCACGGCUCAACCGUGGAGGGUCAUUGGAAACUGGGGAACUUGAGUGCAGAAGAGAAAAGCGGAAUUCCACGUGUAGCGGUGAAAUGCGUAGAGAUGUGGAGGAACACCAGUGGCGAAGGCGGCUUUUUGGUCUGUAACUGACGCUGAGGCGCGAAAGCGUGGGGAGCAAACAGGAUUAGAUACCCUGGUAGUCCACGCCGUAAACGAUGAGUGCUAAGUGUUAGAGGGUUUCCGCCCUUUAGUGCUGCAGCUAACGCAUUAAGCACUCCGCCUGGGGAGUACGGUCGCAAGACUGAAACUCAAAGGAAUUGACGGGGGCCCGCACAAGCGGUGGAGCAUGUGGGUUUAAAUUCGAAAGCAACGCGAAGAACCUUUACCCGGGUCUUGACAUCCUCUGAACAACUCUAGAGAAUAGAGCGUUCCCCUUUCGGGGGGACAGAGUGACAGUGGUUGCAUGUUGUCGUCAGCUUCGUGUCCGUGAGCAUGGUUUGGGUUAAGGUUCCCCGCCAAACGGAGC